GGUGGUGGCUUAGUGGUAGAGUGCUUGCCUAGCCUGUGUGACGUACUGGGUGUGAUCGUCAGCACCACAUAAAAAUAAAUAAAAAUGUUAUGUCCAUCAACAAUUAAUUUUUUUAAAGAAGAAUUAUUGUAUAGCUCAGUUGGUAGAAUGCUUGCACAAGGACCUGGGUUCAAUCCCCAGCAACACCA
rnacentral:tRNA from 1 species